GACGAACGCUGGCGGCGUGCCUAACACAUGCAAGUGGAGCGACGAACCGGGCUUCGGCCCGGGGCAAAGCCGCGAACGGGUGAGUAACACGUGGGUAACCUGCCCCGAUGAUUGGGACAACCCGAGGAAACUCGGGCUAAUACCGAAUGUGCCCUCCGACCAUAAGGUCGCUGGGGAAAGGAAGCUUCGGCCUCCGCAUCGGGAUGGGCCCGCGGCGCAUUAGCUUGUUGGUGAGGUAACGGCUCACCAAGGCGACGAUGCGUAGCUGGUCUGAGAGGACGAUCAGCCACACUGGGACUGAGACACGGCCCAGACUCCUACGGGAGGCAGCAGUGGGGAAUCUUGCGCAAUGCGCGAAAGCGUGACGCAGCAACGCCGCGUGGGGGAAGACGGCCUUCGGGUUGUAAACCCCUUUCAGUUGGGACGAAGCUCAGGCGGUGAAUAGCCGUGCGGAGUGACGGUACCUUCAGAAGAAGCCCCGGCUAACUACGUGCCAGCCGCCGCCGUAACAC
rnacentral:rRNA from 1 species